rnacentral:rRNA from 1 species
GAUGAACGCUGGCGGCGUGCCUAAUACAUGCAAGUCGAGCGAACAGACGAGGAGCUUGCUCCUCUGACGUUAGCGGCGGACGGGUGAGUAACACGUGGAUAACCUACCUAUAAGACUGGGAUAACUUCGGGAAACCGGAGCUAAUACCGGAUAACAUGUUGAACCGCAUGGUUUAACAGUGAAAGACGGUCUUGCUGUCACUUAUAGAUGGAUCCGCGCCGCAUUAGCUAGUUGGUAAGGUAACGGCUUACCAAGGCAACGAUGCGUAGCCGACCUGAGAGGGUGAUUGGCCACACUGGAACUGAGACACGGUCCAGACUCCUACGGGAGGCAGCAGUAGGGAAUCUUCCGCAAUGGGCGAAAGCCUGACGGAGCAACGCCGCGUGAGUGAAGAAGGUCUUCGGAUCGUAAAACUCUGUUAUUAGGGAAGAACAAAUGUGUAAGUAACUAUGCACGUCUUGACGGUACCUAAUCAGAAAGCCACGGCUAACUACGUG